rnacentral:rRNA from 1 species
AUGGCUCAGGCAAACGCUGGCGGCGUGCCUAACACAUAGCAAGUCGAACGAAGCACUGUGGAAAGAGACUCGGUCAAUUGAAACUUGACUAGUGGCGGACGGGUGAGUAAUGCAUGAGCAACCUGCCCUGGAGAGGGGGACGAACAGCUGGAAACGGCUGCUAAUACCGCAUGAAGUCACCGGAAGGCAUCUUCUGGUGACCAAAGAUUUAUCGCUCUGGGAUGGGCUCAUGUCUGAUUAGUUAGUUGGCGGGGCAACGGCCCACCAAGACUUCGAUCAGUAGCCGGACUGAGAGGUUGAACGGCCACAUUGGGACUGAGAUACGGCCCAGACUCCUACGGGAGGCAGCAGUGGGGAAUAUUGGGCAAUGGGCGCAAGCCUGACCCAGCAACGCCGCGUGAAGGAAGAAGGCUUUCGGGUUGUAAACUUCUUUUAUCAGGGACGAAGAAAGUGACGGUACCUGAUGAAUAAGCCACGGCUAACUACGUGCCAGCCGCAGC